rnacentral:rRNA from 1 species
CCUACGGGAGGCUGCAGUGAGGAAUAUUGGUCAAUGGCCGGAAGGCUGAACCAGCCAUGCCGCGUGAAGGUCAGUGCCCUAUGGGCGUUAAACUUCUUUUGUGCGGGAGCAAUAAUGGUCACGUGUGGCCAGACGAGAGUACCGUACGAAUAAGCAUCGGCUAACUCCGUGCCAGCAGCCGCGGUAAUACGGGGGAUGCAAGCGUUAUCCGGAUUUAUUGGGUUUAAAGGGUGCGUAGGCUGUGAGGUAAGUCAGCGGUGAAAUGCCCCCGCUCAACGGGGUGAAGUGCCAUUGAUACUGCCUGGCUGGAAUGCGGAUGCCGUGGGAGGAAUGUGGGGUGUAGCGGUGAAAUGCAUAGAUAUCACACAGAACACCGAUUGCGAAGGCAUCUCACGAAUCCGCGAUUGACGCUGAUGCACGAAAGCGGGGGUAUCAAACAGAUUAGAUACCCUGGUAGUC